AAUAUUACUAAUAAUUACCGUAAAUUUGGUAAAAAUAAAACGUAUAAACGAUUUAUUAAUUAAUAUAUUCUUAUUAUAUUUAUAAUUAUUAAUUGUAUUGCUAUAUUAAUAAAAGUUUAGGGGUAUACUUUUAGGUGCGGCGUAAUUUCAACUAAUAAUAAAAACGCUGUAAUAAUAGUAAAAAUACUUUGUAAAUUUAAAAUAAAAUAUAUUAAAAUUUGGGGCGAUUUUCUAUAUUAAUUGCCGGAAAUUUGUUUUUUUCCUUUAUUUACCUUCCAAUAUUAAAAAUGGGGGUUAGUUCGCCCAAAAGGUUUCCGGUACUACAGGUCGUUUUCUGAAAAACUAAUUUAUAUAGGGUUUUGAAAAAACAUAUAUAUUUAUAUAUAAAUUUUUUGGGUCGUAUUUAAACACCAAUUUGAUAAAAUUCUUUUACCCGGUACAGGGUGAUUACUUUUAUUCGUUACCCCUUCUAAUCGCAAUUUCCAUAUAUAAUAAAUUAACGGAGUUACAAUAACCCCAUUUUGGCAUUAUAUAUUAGAAGUUAUAUAUAAAUAAAAAUGGGCCUAUUAUAUAUAAGAUAAUAUAUAUGAUUAGUACCCCUUUUUUAAUAUUUUAUGUAAAAAUAAAAUCGGAAAAAGAAAAGAUUAUACAAAAUUAAAUAACGAAAAACCAAAAUUUAAAAAAAAAAAUUCCCUUUUUUAUUCCAUUCCGAUUCGAACCCCCGAUACGAACCCCCUGGAUAAUUAAACCUUUUUUACCGAGCCCCCUAAUUAAAUUGGACCUCAGAUUAGACAAAUCCCCGAAAAAUGUAAUAAUUCCCAAGUUCGAACCCACAAUUUACAAAUUAUUACCGACGGACUUAAUUAUUACACUAGGUAAUUAAUUUGGCCGUUUGUUAUUAAAAAUUACAAACAAAUAUAAUAUAUAUUGUAUUUCGAAUUGGUAAAUCGCCCAAAACGUGUAAUAUUUUAAUUUGGAUUUGAUUUUGGACACUCGGCCGGUAUAAACGGUUUAUAAAUACUUGGGGGCUGUUUCUUUGUGGGCCCCCUUAAAGAGGGGGUCAUAAAACCGUGAUUUUCAACAAAACCAUGGGCCAUUAUCGCGAUUGGAGAACUGUGCCUAAAAGUACCUAACUGACAAAUAAUGCAAUUUUACAAUUCGGUCUUAAGUAUUUUCACAAUUACAAAAAGCUUAUAAAAAUGGGAUAUAUAUUAUUUAUAUAACAUAAAUUUUUCGCGUAUAAAAUAUAUAUUGUUCAAGUUCAAAAUUAAUUUAUA
rnacentral:sRNA from 1 species